rnacentral:rRNA from 1 species
AUUGAACGCUGGCGGCAGGCCUAACACAUGCAAGUCGAGCGGAUGAAGGGAGCUUGCUCCUGGAUUCAGCGGCGGACGGGUGAGUAAUGCCUAGGAAUCUGCCUGGUAGUGGGGGAUAACGUCCGGAAACGGGCGCUAAUACCGCAUACGUCCUGAGGGAGAAAGUGGGGGAUCUUCGGACCUCACGCUAUCAGAUGAGCCUAGGUCGGAUUAGCUAGUUGGUGGGGUAAAGGCCUACCAAGGCGACGAUCCGUAACUGGUCUGAGAGGAUGAUCAGUCACACUGGAACUGAGACACGGUCCAGACUCCUACGGGAGGCAGCAGUGGGGAAUAUCGGACAAUGGGCGAAAGCCUGAUCCAGCCAUGCCGCGUGUGUGAAGAAGGUCUUCGGAUUGUAAAGCACUUUAAGUUGGGAGGAAGGGCAGUAAGUUAAUACCUUGCUGUUUUGACGGUACCAACAGAAUAAGCACCGGCUAACUUCGUG